rnacentral:lncRNA from 1 species
UUCGGAUCCCGGUUCAGAUCCCGGUUCGAUUCCCCCUUCAGUUCCAUCCCGUUCAGAUCCCGGUUCAGAUCCCGGU